AACGCGAAGAACCUUACCAGCCCUUGACAUCCCGGUCGCGGGAACGAGAGAUCGAUCCCUUCAGUUCGGCUGGACCGGAGACAGGUGCUGCAUGGCUGUCGUCAGCUCGUGUCGUGAGAUGUUGGGUUAAGUCCCGCAACGAGCGCAACCCUCGCCCUUAGUUGCCAUCAUUAAGUUGGGCUCUCUAAGGGGACUGCCGGUGAUAAGCCGCGAGGAAGGUGGGGAUGACGUCAAGUCCUCAUGGCCCUUACGGGCUGGGCUACACACGUGCUACAAUGGCGGUGACAAUGGGACGCAAUGGGGCAACCCUGCGCAAAUCUCAAAAAGCCGUCUCAGUUCGGAUUGUGCUCUGCAACUCGAGCACAUGAAGUUGGAAUCGCUAGUAAUCGCAGAUCAGCACGCUGCGGUGAAUACGUUCCCGGGCCUUGUACACACCGCUAGUC
rnacentral:rRNA from 1 species